GCGCCGUUGGUAUAGUGGUUAGCAUACUCGCUUCCCAAGCGAGUGACCCGAGUUCGAAUCUCGGACGGCGCA
rnacentral:tRNA from 8 species